ensembl:misc_RNA Metazoa_SRP Metazoan signal recognition particle RNA
GCUGGGUGUGGUGGUGCACACCUAUAGUCCCAGCUACUCCAGAGGCUGAGGUGGGAGGAUUGCUUGAGCCCAGGAGCUUGAGGCUGCAGUGAGCUAUGAUUGCACCACUGAACUCCAGCCUGGGCAACAGAGUAAGACCCUGUCUCUU